UACUGAUUGCUGUUUUGCCCACACCAAGCAGACGAUCUGCUGCAGCGCCACCGCAAGGGUGUGACAGGCGCACAAACUGGUCAUAUGACACGAGCCAAGCCCUUAACGACGUGCGAGAACCUUGACUACCGUCGUUACAGUUUCAGUUGUCCGAGAACGAAAGUGACCACCAUGUAUCAAAAUAUGCUAUGACUUCGCCAGCGAAUGCUUCACUAUGGGGAGUCAGUUGAUUGUCGAAAGCGAUCGAGAUGUGAUGCAUUCCUGUCCUCACGCUAACAACAAGUACGACGAAUCGUGUCGUGCAGAAAUGAAUGCCCAUUUGUGACGGCAAGGGUGUUCCUGCACAGAAUUAAAGGGUGCUCACGCCUUCCAAUGGACAAUAACUCUGCCAGAAGUUAACAGAAUAGGAAGUAAAAACGAAAGUAAUUCAGCUCUAAGCAAGGCUGUCUUCGAGACCAACGUCUAGGAGUAGUAAUGUUGUUGAGGGGGUGACUUAGGGGUUUCGAGCGGUUGUUGAGGUAAUUAUCAUUUUAUGGUGGCAACUUCUGCUUCUGUUCCACUGCAAUCGUGGCUUGACAAAUGCACAGAUUCUUUUCCUUACAAACAAACAAAUGCACAGAAAGAUCGGCAUGACUCAUCUUCUGUCAUCAUAAACAUUCAUUAUAAUUAUCGUAAGUAUAUCCAAGCCGGGCGACAUUAGGGCUGUACCGCCGAUUAUUUCAUUUUACAGACGGUAAUCGGUAAAGAACAGCGAUACUGAAAAAUACACGCUAAUUAACUUCACAUAAAAUUUUGUCGCGCAAAAAAUUCUGUAACACAUUAAUACGGGUAUGUUGAUUCACAUCGUUGAACGGUGUUUCUAAAUAACUCGUAGCUGUUAUCAGGUCUGGGAUUUCUAUACGAGAUGUCGCGGAAUUUUGAGAAGCGAAGUAUAGCAGCUUUCGAGCAAGCCUGGGGGAACAACAACAGGAGCAGCACCAAAUAUAUGAUGAUGGUGAUGACACGGGAUGUUUUGGCCGCUAGUGUGCCGUAUCUUUCGCUACGUCUUCGAGGCAAGUGACACAUUGGUUGUCUUAUUUCUUCUACUACUUUUUCGCCAUUUUAUUUUCUUUCUUUGCUUUUGUUUGAAAGUGGUAGUCUACGAGAGUAUUUUCUCGGUGACAACAUUUUCAAGCCAUAUGCGAAACGACUCGCCGUUCCGAUUGGAGCGGAGCUAUAGGCCGAGUAAAACAGAUCUGGUGCAGAUAGGGGGAAAAAAUGCGGGGACUGAAGAAGCAACCAAUGAUUAAUGACUUUUCCAUUUCCUCUGGAAACAACCGCAUAUAUCAUUCACGUUCAGUGUGCGCCAGGAAGCGACAUCUGCGGCAAGCUACAGAACUGGUAAUAUUUUAUUUCGUGGUAGGAUUUCAAGUUUACUGGGCAGCCUUGGCCAAUUUCAGCCUGGGGCAGAUUGAGUGCGCGGCGGUCGCUUCCCUCCCCCCUCCCAAAAGUGAUGCUUAAAGAGUGCGUAAUUGCCAGAGAAGAAUUUAUGCGUAGAACUUACAUAAUGUGCUCUCUAUCCGCAGCUGCCCAAUGUGUCUGGUAAUUUAUCAUUACAGCGAUUCAACACGUGCAAAACAACCAGUCUACCAUCCAA